rnacentral:rRNA from 1 species
AGUCCCUACGGGAGGCAGCAGUAGGGAAUCUUCCACAAUGGACGAAAGUCUGAUGGAGCAACGCCGCGUGAGUGAAGAAGGGUUUCGGCUCGUAAAGCUCUGUUGGUAGUGAAGAAAGAUAGAGGUAGUAACUGGCCUUUAUUUGACGAUAAUUACUUAGAAAGUCACGGCUAACUACGUGCCAGCAGCCGCGGUAAUACGUAGGGGGCAAGCGUUAUCCGGAUUUACUGGGUGUAAAGGGAGCGCAGGCGGCGCGGUA